UUUCCGUAGGUGAACCUGCGGAAGGAUCAUUGUCGAAACCUGCCCAGCAGAACGACCCGCGAACUUGUAUAAACAACUGGGGGCGGGGGGCGUUCUCGCCCCGUGCCCCCGAACGGCGGGGAGACACUCGUGCCUUCUUGCCGAACAACGAACCCCGGCGCGGUCUGCGCCAAGGAACUUCAACUAAAGAGUGCCUCCGGUCGCCUCGGAAACGGCGUGCGUGCCGGAGGCGAAUCCUGUGCAAAACCAUAACGACUCUCGGCAACGGAUAUCUCGGCUCUC
rnacentral:misc_RNA from 1 species